AAAGUCGUAACAAGGUCUCCGUAGGUGAACCUGCGGAGGGAUCAUCAAAGAAUUUACUUAUACACAGGCUGCUUCUUUGGGAGCUGGCUUGUCAAACAAACGAUCGCAACUAGAAAGCGGGUUUCGGGGGGAAAGAAAAAAGUGCUUGCCUGAUAAUUGAUUGAUUUGGAAACAGAAUAUACAACUUUCAACAACGGAUCUCUUGGCUCUC
rnacentral:misc_RNA from 1 species